rnacentral:rRNA from 1 species
GGGACACGUGGUAUCCUGUCUGAAUAUGGGGGGACCAUCCUCCAAGGCUAAAUACUCCUGACUGACCGAUAGUGAACCAGUACCGUGAGGGAAAGGCGAAAAGAACCCCGGCGAGGGGAGUGAAAAAGAACCUGAAACCGUGUACGUACAAGCAGUGGGAGCACGCUUAGGCGUGUGACUGCGUACCUUUUGUAUAAUGGGUCAGCGACUUAUAUUCUGUAGCAAGGUUAACCGAAUAGGGGAGCCGAAGGGAAACCGAGUCUUAACUGGGCGUUAAGUUGCAGGGUAUAGACCCGAAACCCGGUGAUCUAGCCAUGGGCAGGUUGAAGGUUGGGUAACACUAACUGGAGGACCGAACCGACUAAUGUUGAAAAAUUAGCGGAUGACUUGUGGCUGGGGGUGAAAGGCCAAUCAAACCGGGAGAUAGCUGGUUCUCCCCGAAAGCUAUUUAGGUAGCGCCUCGUGAAUUCAUCUCCGGGGGUAGAGCACUGUUUCGGCAAGGGGGUCAUCCCGACUUACCAACCCGAUGCAAACUGCGAAUACCGGAGAAUGUUAUCACGGGAGACACACGGCGGGUGCUAACGUCCGUCGUGAAGAGGGAAACAACCCAGACCGCCAGCUAAGGUCCCAAAGUCAUGGUUAAGUGGGAAACGAUGUGGGAAGGCCCAGACAGCCAGGAUGUUGGCUUAGAAGCAGCCAUCAUUUAAAGAAAGCGUAAUAGCUCACUGGUCGAGUCGGCCUGCGCGGAAGAUGUAACGGGGCUAAACCAUGCACCGAAGCUGCGGCAGCGACGCUUAUGCGUUGUUGGGUAGGGGAGCGUUCUGUAAGCCUGCGAAGGUGUGCUGUGAGGCAUGCUGGAGGUAUCAGAAGUGCGAAUGCUGACAUAAGUAACGAUAAAGCGGGUGAAAAGCCCGCUCGCCGGAAGACCAAGGGUUCCUGUCCAACGUUAAUCGGGGCAGGGUGAGUCGACCCCUAAGGCGAGGCCGAAAGGCGUAGUCGAUGGGAAACAGGUUAAUAUUCCUGUACUUGGUGUUACUGCGAAGGGGGGACGGAGAAGGCUAUGUUGGCCGGGCGACGGUUGUCCCGGUUUAAGCGUGUAGG